CGGGAUACCCAUUUUUGCCUAAGCCGCCCUUGCGGGUUUUCGACUUACCGGGUGUACAAUUCUUUUCAUUUUAUCCCUAAUUUUUGCCCAAACCUUUUUUAUGUUUUUUGGUUCGCCGGGAUGCCCUUUUUUUGCCUGGACUCUUUUUUUUUGUCCAGCGGGUCAAUUUAUGCGAAGUAUUUUUUGACUACAUCUGAGUU
rnacentral:lncRNA from 1 species